UAAUUGAAUGCUAAAAGAAUGGAAAUUUAAAAAAAAACUUUUUUAAAAAUAAAAAUUGAAUUUUUUUUAAUUUGUGCAAAAACAAUUAUUAUUAUUAAAGACAAGAAGACCCUAAGAAUUUAUGAUUUUGCAAUUAGAAUUUUUUUCAAAAAAUCUUGAUUGGGGCGAUCAAAAAAUAUUAAUAACUUUUUAAAUUUAAAUUGAUCUAUUAUUAAUAAACUAAUGAAUUAAAUACUCUAGGGAUAACAGCGUAAUAAUUUUUGAUAGAUCUUAUUGACAAAAUAGUUUGCGACCUCGAUGUUGGAUUAGGAUCCUUUUUUAAUGAAGAAGUUAAAAAAAGAAGUUUGUUCAACUUUUAAAUUCCUACUUGAUC
rnacentral:rRNA from 1 species